rnacentral:rRNA from 1 species
CUACGGGGGGCUCCAGUGGGGGAUAUUGCACAAUGGGCGAAAGCCUGAUGCAGCAACGCCGCGUGAAGGAAGACGGUUUUCGGAUUGUAAACUUCUAUCAGCAGGGAAGAAAAUGACUGUACCUGACUAAGAAGCCCCGGCUAACUACGUGCCAGCAGCCGCGGUAAUACGUAGGGGGCAAGCGUUAUCCGGAAUUACUGGGUGUAAAGGGUACGUAGGCGGCUGAUCAAGUCAGAUGUGAAAGCCCGGAGCUCAACUCCGGGACUGCAUUUGAAACUGGUCGGCUAGAGUGCAGGAGAGGAAAGUGGAAUUCCUAGUGUAGCGGUGAAAUGCGUAGAUAUUAGGAAGAACACCAGUGGCGAAGGCGGCUUUCUGGACUGUAACUGACGCUGAGGUACGAAAGCGUGGGGAGCGAACAGGAUUAGAUACCCCAGUAGUC